rnacentral:tRNA from 1 species
GGGAGAAGCCCCGGGACCCAUUACGGGNCCUGUUCCAAAUUUGCACU